rnacentral:lncRNA from 1 species
GUUACCAUGACACUGAGAGAACACUGAACUGCAUUUUGAAACAGGCCCCCUGGUCCAGCAGUACUGAAUAUAGGCUGAUACCUCAGACAAGAUCUCUCUGAAGGAGAAAUACAGAUAAAAGCAAAGCUCUGUGACUGAUUUUUUCACUAUCUACUUGAAAGACAGUGGGUCAGAAUUAAGGCAUUUUUGCUGCGGAGGAAAUGUGUGGGAUGUUGGCUGUGAGCCAGUAGCCACUAACAUCCCUGGCUGCACUAGGAAUACUUGAAUGAAGUGGGCGUCAACCUCGGGAGAGCGGGCAGCGCUACCUACAUCAGAGAAAAACCUCUUCAUUGAGACUCAAGGAGUAAAAAUAUUGAAUGGAGAUAAACCGGUUUGAUGGAUUUUUUUUUUCCUGUGAGGAACAGUAAAAAUACAAGAAUCACGAUCCAGUCUGGAAGAACAUCCCCUAAGGUCCUGUGCCUGUCGUGUCCCAUUCAUUCCGCAGAAAAUGAGAUACAUGCAGUCCUUGACUACUCUGACUUGUUCUUCAAGGGUUAUGGCAACAGUGAUUGUCCCUUCUAGGAUGCCUGUGAAGUAUUUGCCAGUGGUGGUUGUAACUGUUCUCUCCAAAUGCACAGCCUGUCAGCUUCUCACGACCUGCUCGGAGCUAGAGUGUGGAAAUUGGGACACCAGCUGCAUAUUCCUACUGGACCUUGGCUCUUCUCUGGCAAGCAUCACGCAGAGCUGAUAUUUUACCCAGUCAGCUUAUACAUGUGUGGAGGAGCCGCUGACUUUGGUCACGGAGCUGUGUGCAGUUUGCAGGCCACCUGGGACACUUCUGGGCCAGAUCGGGUGGCGUGGCUGGCCGCGGGGCCAGGUAGCACAUCCGCAGCGCAAAGCUUCGGAGAGAUGCCGUGCGCUGAAACACCAGGAGCACCCAGCCCAGCGCGCAGCUUUCUGCUCUGCAGGCCGAGUCCUCUCCGGCUCCCGAGCGCCUGCUCCCAGGAGAGGGCAGUGGAGCCGCACACGCUCCCGUGCUGCGGCCGGCGGGAAGGCCGGCUCCCCCGGCUGCUGGGCAAGGAGAGGGACGGGGCAGCAGAGGUAUGCUCUUGUCUAGCCUGGGUUCUGUGCUGACUGGAGGAGCAGUGAAACAAAAACUGAGCAAUUGGGAGAGCCUUUCUCAGCUGGUGUAAGGUGUUGCACGGGUGGAGGGGAGCCUGCGAGACGCGACCUGACAGCAUUUGGGACCCAACACAGAGGUAAGUCCACGUGGCACGUGCCCUAAUGUCCUAAAACCUGUAAAUGUUGAUAUCUAGAGUUAAAACUGAACGAUGAGGAUUUUGUAGCCUUCCCGUGUAUGCUGGUUUCUUGCUUUGGAGCAGGAGUGUGCUUUUGUAGCAUCUCUCAGAUGUCGCCGUGUCUUGCUGCUGCUUGGGUUGUCGAUUUUUCUUUCCCCCUGUAUGCCACUGAACAGGGGCCUUGCGCACUACAGAUAGCGUGAGAGUUGCUUUCCUAAAAGCAGGAAUAAACAGUCAUCAGAUGAAAUAUUCCA